CAAAAUGCUUCAAUAUUAGAAAUUCGUGUGGUUAUGCUUUGGCAAUUAAAACUGCAUGAUGUUUCGUUGCAUUCUUGUAAACUGCAUGUCGCUCCUAGAAUUUGAACCACAUUCGAUUUCCUUUCUCCCCUUCCCCUCCAACGGCGGCCAUUACCCUCGUGUCAAAGCCCUACUCCAUUUCUUUCUUUGAGGAGAUGCUUUUAUCACCGGCCACUGUAUCCUAUGCCAAUCCUCCUUUUGCCACUCCCGUCCCUCCAGAAUCCUGACCAUAAUCUCAUUUCCGCAAUGAUCUCACGGAUAGAAAUGUCCAGUGGCUAUUACUGGGCUCCCCAGCUUGGGAAUGGGAACCUUUGCCAGCCGCCUCUCUAACAUUCUCGGCGUACCCUGCGUCGCUAACGGCGAUCUCGUCUCCUCCGGCCCCCUCUCUCAACUGUUAUGGAGGCUUAAGGGCGACAGGGAUCCGUUUGCAUGGCUGUUGCAUCGUGGCUCAAGUCCACUUCCCCAAAGGCUUCAUUUUAAAGACCAUCCCGCCACGAACCAACUACGCGGUGGGUGAGAACAUUAACUCUGUUGCUGUGAAGCAGAAAUGGUGGCAGCGUCGAUGGAGCUGGAGAUCCUUGAAGUGAGUGGCAUGGUCCAUCUAUGGUGGUGCUAGGCGUGAGUGGUGUUGCGGUGCAACACGGAGGGAUGCAUUUUGGUGCUCUACUUGCCCUAAGGAAAACAGAGGUUGCUGGGGUGCAGUCGAGGUUGAAGUUUUACAGUAGAAAACGCCUCUUGCUGUCGGUGGUGGCAAUGUUUUAGAGCUAGAGAUUCUCGGCGUGGAGGGGUGUUGGGCUUGCGUGCUCAACCUAUGGUGGUGGAUGCAGUUCACUCGUGGUGGGUGACGGUAUGCAAAGAAAUGAAAUGAAGCUCGGGCAUGGGGGCAGUAGGAAAAGAAAGAAAAAAGAGGAAGGGGCUGCAAAAAUGAUAGAGAUGAAACCCUAAGGGCCUUCCCACUUGCAAAUAGGCUGGACUUUUUUUGUUUGGGCUAGGGCCAAGCACUUAUUUGCAUCUUUUCUGUCCCGUGAUGAACCUUUCAAGCUCAUAAAUGAUGGAUGGUUGAAUCAUAGUAAUGGUGUCAAAGGAGCUACAAAACAGCAGACGUUUUUAAGUUUGGAAGAAAUUUCCAUAACAAAGGUCUAGACAUCAGAAGUUGCUAUAUGAAGUUUUUUACCAUCUUAAAUGUACAAGGGAGGGUUUGGCAUCUGAUUCACUGCAAGAACGAUUGGAUUUAUUUGGGGAUACAACAAACUUGAGGAGAAAAAGAUCUACAUUUCAGCUGGCAGAGAAUCUCUGCUCAAUGUAAGCCAAACUGUUAACUCACCCAUGGCUCUUGCUUUUACAUGUUAAUUUUGUAGCAAACCUUCCCCAUAGGGUUAGGAAUGUUACUUCCAUUACUUUUCUUCACCUCAGGUGUUAAGAAAUGCCAUAAUUCUUAUUAAACUAGUUUUCUUAAUGUAUCAUAUGUUACAAAACCAAAAUAAUUAAUACAAUGUCCUUUAUAUAGUCAUAACAGAAGGAAGCAUUUCCCAAAUACUGUGUUGGAUUCUUAUUAAGGCAUGAUUAAUUCAAGGUCUCUAAAACUAGUUUUUUCUCUAUAACUUGUUCUAGCCUGCUGACCCAUCCCCGUCACCAUCAAUACAUGGGAUGUCUAAAACACCCUAUGUAUGGACUGGUCAUUAUUUUAACAUUGUGUCUAUUUCGUAAUCAUAUAACAUGUUUUCUCACCUCUUUGGUCAUUAUUAGGGUUAGGAAUGUUACUUCCAUUACUUUACUUCACCUCAGGUUUUAAGAAAUGCCAUAAUUCUUAUUUAACUAGUUUUCUUAAAGACUAAUGAUGUUAACUGAAAACCCUUUGUUUAUAUUAUGUUUAGUGCAUGAUGUGGUUCUUACAUAGUAUUCGACUUAUUUUAGUUGUUUUUAUAUUUUUAUACCCCAGGUGACAAAAGGUUUUGAGGAUACAGUAGGUGAGAAUGUUGUCCAGGAAGGUGAAAUUGAUAAUUAGACUUGUGGCAUUGAGAAAGGAUUUUGAUUCUAUCUUUAAGAUUCAAUGAAUUCUUUUUUGGCGAUGUGUAGAACAUGACAAACUAUUUUCUUUCCGUAAGUGCAACUGAAUAAUUCUUAGUGGACAUUUACCAUUAUCAACGGCAAGUCUGCUUGAAGUCCCAUCCUUAGAGAGCACUCGUAUGUUUAGCAUCCCUAAAAGUGCGCCUCCCGAGACUCAUUUCAGGAGGCACUACAGUUAUAUCUUACUGAAAAGAAAACCAACAGUUUAUUCCUGAAUAUCUUACGAGUUAAACUACAUAUUAGCCACUGUGGUGCAACUAGAAAUCCUAAACAACUAUUUCGAUUGAGUGCUCUCUACCAAUUGCAUACCGUAGUUUAUGGUAUAUUUUCUUUAUAUAGGAGAGAUAUAAAUGCAUCUUUGAAUUCAUUUGAUUUUGACAAACCGAAUAGUGUUCUCCCUCUCUUUUAAUUGGUGGGUUGGGGAAAACUUUUGGCAUGACUGUUGUGCCGGUUGUCUCCUUUUGUGAAAACUGAGGUGAUGCUGCGUGCCAUUUUACAAAUUUAAAGGUACUGUAAAUAGCUUUAAAAUUAUGUCAAACAAUGGAAUUGAAUUGGAGACCUUCGUUUCAUGGUGGUUGCAAGUUCAUUUGGACUUGUGAUUAGUUUUAAGUUGGUACUUUCAUGCUCCAUUUGUGUGCUUGCUGAAAUAUAAUGACCUGUAUCGUUGGGUGGCUUACAAAGUACUUACACUACUUUGGAUUGGUUGAUCUUAGUGUCUGCUCAUGGCUUAAAAAUAAGAAGGGGGAAAGGAAAGGAAAUUUGUUGUAGGGAUAUAUAUAUAGACACAUAGUGACAACAGCAAUAUCAGCAAGAUCUAAAACAUGAUCAGCAUCGACUUCCCAGCUAGUAAACCAUGUAAUUGCAUUCCUUCCUAGAUGAACCCGAGUGGAUAAGUAUUUUUUUGACUUGAGUGUUCGGGUAACAAUUAAUUGAGUUCUUUUAAGAUGAAAUGUCAAAAUCUAUUUCGAUCUGGACAAAGGAAGGUGAAGGUCCUAUUUUAGGAUGCAGAUUUAUCAACCAUUCAUGUUCACAGAUUGGUUAAAUUGAUAGAAUUUUUAAGUUUGGGUUUCAGUGCAAGCCAACAAAGCUAAUUAAGUGAAACUCCUGCAGUAAUAAUAUCACAAUUUCCCCUUCAAAUUAACUCCACAAAUAGAAUCAUAGUUAAAUAUACGAAUUUUAUUUAAAUGUUUUACCAAACUUCAUGACUUCAAACCUAUUUUUUAGCUUGUUCUAUGACCCACCAACCAAAAUGGCCAUGAAAGGUUGAGUAAUCUCUACAGACUCGAUAUGUACUUUGUAUUUAAAAUAGUUGGAUGAGUUGGAUCAUCUUUGCUUUUUUCUUUUUUCUUGGCAGUUGGUUAAAUUCUACAUUACCUAAGAAAUGCCUCUGUUUAAGCAACAUCUAGUAUCUUGGAAUGAACUUAGAUUUCAAAAAGGAAUGGUACAGCCCCAAAUAAGCAUAGUACAUUGAUAGUAUAUAAAUUUCAUUUGUCGUAAAGCGUGUAAAACACUAGUGAUCCACGAGACCCCCUUGGGGUGAUCCACCCUGAAGGAUGGCUCCUCUUACCAUUUUUUAAGUUUUUAUUUUUAAUUUUUGUUUUUGAAUUAUUAUUGGAAAUUAUUGGAUUGCUUCUAGCUAUUUGAUUAAAAAUGGAAGACCCCACUCACAUGCAUGCAUGUACUGAGAGAGGUGAUUUUUGAGUUCUAUAAGAUGAGUAUUGCGGCUUAGGGUAUGGAGAAAAAACAUUUUUCUUUGAACCUGAGUUCAGAGGCAUGGAGAAGAAAUAUUGUUCUUCGGUUUCUACUAUUUUAGUCUUAUCAUGCUUCUACUUUCAUCUUUGUGUGCUUCUAAUUUAACUGCUUGAGCGAAAGUAAAUGGUCUUGGUGAAAGCCAUGUGUACUUGAAGGAACUUUGAUAAACAGAGUUAUGUACUGCAAGCACUUAUUCAAAUUAUAGUGCUUUUGGGGAAUCUGGCACAGAUUGAAGCAGCCAUCAAAGGAGGCUUUGAUGUGAAAUGGAAGGAAGAUACUGCAGCUUGUUGUGCCUGCACUGAGUCUAUGGGAGUUUGUGGUUAUGACGUGAUGAGUAAAAAUAGAUGGAAACAAUUUAUACAUGCAGUGGCAGUAUUACAGUAGAUGGAAACAAUCUAGGAGAUAGCAUGAAAUGUGUCUUUUUCUUAGUCAAUCGGGUUCAGUUGAAUUGUUGAGUAUACUAAUUACUAGGAGAACCACCACUGCCACUGGCAUUUUAAUUAGUACAUGACAUGCUUUAUGAUUAGGAUUGUUGGAGCAAAACUUUGCUGAAAAUACAUAAAUUAACUCUCUCUCUCUCUCUCUCUCUCUCUCUCUCGAUUAACUUUAAUUUUUCUUAUGCAUGCUUCCCCGCUAUAUAUAUCAUUUUACUGAUUAGGGUUGAUUCAAACUCUGUUUCGGGUCAUGGAUAAUGUUUUUUUAUCGUUCUUUCUUUCUUUUUUUUUUUUUUUUCUUUUUUUGUUUUUUUGUAAUAUCUCUUUCUCAUGCUUUGUUUACCAUAUUAAGGAAUUCGAUCGGUUGAUAUUCAAUUAUUUGCUUUUAGUAUAUAAGUAAAGGGGUUCUUAGAAUUAAAAACCAACUUUAAGUAAUUAAAGACCAUAUAUAUCUCAAUAAUCUUAAUAUGUAAAAGCUUGUCUCAUCAUGAUCACUAGUUAACUGAUCUCAUUUUAUACAGAUUGGAGCAAUUAUGGAGGUAAUUCCAAAGUUAUAAGUUGGGUGUGAGGGGAAAGCAUAUAGCAAUUAUGGAGGUUAUGGCCCUACCAUGGGAGGCUACAACUCCAACUAUAGAUCUGGAAUUACAGAAGAUUCACUGAAGAUGUUACUCUUUUUUGCAAAGAUUUUGAUUGUAUCUCAAAAUGUUCAUUCAUGUUAUGUAUUUAGAUAGCCACAGUAUUUGUAUAACUGGAAUGAUUUUAAGUAUGGGGAUCUGUUCUUGUAGUUGUAUUAGUCAUUUAUCAAUACUUUGAUGGCAUUUAUUUCA